UUAAUUGAAGCCAAAUAGCGGCCUAUCAUUGUUAAUGAUAUAAUUGAAUAAUUAUAAUUCCAAUUAAG
rnacentral:tRNA from 1 species